rnacentral:lncRNA from 1 species
CAAAAAUGUGACAAGUGAAGGCGUCUGAAAACACGGUAUUCGCAGUGAACUUCCUACAAACUGUAUUUUCAAAAUAUGUCGCACCCCCUCUAUAGCACCAGGGAGGAGAAUGAAAAUAGUGGGAAGUGAGUGACUUGUGUAUCUGCCGGCCUUUUAGGUCCGUCUGGCUGAUGAUUGUUUCCUUCCUGAUUACCAGGGCGGACGGGCGAAAAAAAAAGCAGAGUCGAUAAUUGAAUCAGAAAAAAUGUCUCCUCCAGCAUCAAAGAUGGCCGGUCUGAUUACAAGGUUCCUCAACUGGCAGGGCAGGAAGCAGCCCCUUUCCGCAUUCCAAAAGGGGGAGAAACUUUUCUCCCUUCUUUUUUUUUUUUUUUGCCUUUGGUGCCCUGAUGCCGUACAGGGAGUCCUCCUGCUGCGGGCAGUCAAACGUGACCUGUUUGAGGGCCCAAGAGUGCCAACGGACCCCUGGAGAGCGGCUAUGAAGAGAGCGGUUCCUCACAACUCCAGAUGGGCAGAGACGCGAUCCAGAGUGGUUUACGCGGUGUGCUCAGCCACCUUCGCCUCCUGGAGGAUGCUCACCCUGGGGGCGGGGUACGAGGACACCUGGGCGAAGUCGCCUGACAGGAAGCCCCGCACCGGGCAGCGGGCUGAGGAGAAGGGGGAGGAGGCCGAAGACCAGGAGGAAGGAGAGCCAUCGUGGAGAUCCGCUGACUCCAACGCCGGACACAAGUAUGACACAGUUGUUCACCUGGACGGAGGACGGAGAGGUGGAGUCCAUCAGCUCGUCUGGAAGCACGACACCCUCCACAGCAUCCCAUGGCCCCACAGGUGAGACACUACAACAACACACCAAAAUAUAUUCCAUAACUUUUUUAUUAGACCCUAAGGCAGUUGUCCACUUUGUCUCGUUAUAGCUCCUGACAAGCAGCCGUCACUUUUCAACUUAUUUACUUAAAAAAAACCAGAAGAACUUUGUUACUUGCACUUCUCCAGUUCUCUGGAGGUUUGCCAUUGGGCAUUUUAUUUUGA